rnacentral:rRNA from 1 species
UACGAACGGUCCAAACGUUAUUCGGAAUCACUGGGCUUAAAGCGUCCGUAGGCGGUCUGUCGCGUCGGCUGUGAAAUCCCGAGGCUCAACCUCGGGUCUGCAGUCGAUACGGGCAAACUAGAGUAUUGCAGGGGAGACUGGAAUUCCUGGUGUAGCGGUGAAAUGCGCAGAUAUCAGGAGGAACACCGGUGGCGAAGGCGGGUCUCUGGGCAAUAACUGACGCUGAGGAGCGAAAGCGUGGGGAGCGAACAGG